GGGGAAUCUUGCGCAAUGCACGAAAGUGUGACGCAGCAACGCCGCGUGCGGGAAGAAGGUCUUCGGAUCGUAAACCGCUUUCAGUUGGGACGAAGGGUGCACGGUGAAUAGCCGGCGUACUUGACGGUACCUUCAGAAGAAGCCCCGGCUAACUACGUGCCAGCAGCCGCGGUAAUACGUAGGGGGCAAGCGUUAUCCGGAAUCAUUGGGCGUAAAGCGCGUGUAGGCGGUUCAGUAAGUCCGCUCUGAAAGCCCAGGGCUCAACCCUGGGAGGCGGGUGGAUACUGUUGGACUAGAGUCCGGAAGAGGAGAUUGGAAUUCCUGGUGUAGCGGUGAAAUGCGCAGAUAUCAGGAGGAACACCGAUAGCGAAGGCAGAUCUCUGGGACGUGACUGACGCUGAGACGCGAAAGCGUGGGGAGCAAAC
rnacentral:rRNA from 1 species